GAAGUUUUACUUAUAUAUUUUAUUUGAAAGAGGGUUCAAACAAAUUCACAUUUUUAUUGUUCUUUGUUCAUGACAACUGGACUGAAAAAAAGUUGUAUUUUGUUUCUGUUCUGUUUUUUUGUUUUGUGCAACUUACCACUUCCUUUCUGUUGCACCUACAUACACACUACAUUUCAAAACACGUGGUAAUGUUCCAGUCCCUCCUUCUCUGUCUGAUGGUCACCAUGUCUCGUGUAAACCAAGCCGCUGUGCUCUUCACUUUGCUGCUUGUUUUGUGUCGUGUCCUUACAGAGCCGAAGGUAAAGUUCCAGAGUGUCAUUCUCUGUCUGAUGGUCAUGACGUUCAGCCAAAACCAAGCAGCUCUGCUCCUCAUUGUGCUGCUAGUGCGCCGUGUCUUUGCAGAUAUCCCAGUAACUGACCACAGGAAUAUGCUGGUAUCCAGAGGAGACCCAGUCACGUUCCACUGCAACGUAUCCACAGAAAAUGCUUCAGAAAUGAUUUACAUCAUUUACAAACAUUCUAUCCUGAUAAAUCAGACUUUUUUAAAUGUAUCUUAUGACAGACUGAGAAUAGAUCCUUUAAAGUUAAACAUUUUCAGUGCUCAACCUGAAGAUGCAGGACUUUAUUCAUGUAGUGUAACUUCCAGACGAGGCUUAAACAGUGUUUCCUGGACUUUAACUGUGUCUGAGAACAUUGAAGAAAUCAGCUCAUCAUAUUUACCAUACAUACUCACAGCUGCAGUCGGAUUGCUUCUAUGUGUCAUCGCAACAGCUGUCUGCCUCUGGAGAAGACGUCGGGCCAGGACCUGAAACUCCGUAUGAGAGCAGGAUCCUGAGCCAGGCUCAGUAUCAAGUUCUAUUGGGAGGAGAGGUCGCCCCUCCUCAACCCUACAGACGUGCAGUGUAUAGAACAAUCAUGAACUCUGAGAGACUCCUGUAAACCUGUCGAGUCCACUGAGCUGACAAGCACAAAGUACAAGAGAAAGAAAGUAUUUCAUUACAUGUGAAAACGAUGCAUCUCAGUAUUGUUCUUGUAAUAAGGAAAAUUACCAAAGUGUAUCUUAUGUUUUUAAAUGUUUAAUCUAUUUUUUUCUUGCAUGCAGAUCGUCACCAUUGUAUUCCUAUAUCCUCUCCUUGUGUUUUUUGGCCUUCCCUGGUGUCUUUUAGAUUUGUUUGUUAGGUUUACCCUGCAGUACCUUAAUUUUCAUUAAUACAUUUUGUUUCCUCCUCCUGUCUCCUUCCUGUGUUCUGCAUUUGGGUCCAACUUGUUUUUUGUUUUUUCUGGACCUCCACCACAUUCUUCUCUGAUAACUUUUUCAUACUUCUGCUCUUGGACCUGAGCUUCAUACACAGUGUUCACAUAGACACACAUACGGGUAAUGGGGAAGAGGUGGAUACGAUCUGAAAUCAGAGAAGACAGAGCAGUGACACACAAGGAAAAAGGAAGUGACCUGAAACGAGAGAAGAGUUACAUUUCAAAAUAAAACAGGAAGUCAUGAGACAAGAAUGGGGACAAGACAAAACCUCAGCAAGUUGUGACAUGUACCUGGAUUGUGACGAUAUAAAAGCGUUUCUUCAAAGAAAAUCAGAAGAGAGGAGAGCAGACUGAGAGGCAGAAGAGACAAGAACACAUUAAGAAACCAGAAACUACAGUCUUCAUGUUAAAGGUUUCAGAUGUAAUGUUGUUAUAAUGUAAAAUAAAGUUAACUCAA